rnacentral:lncRNA from 1 species
GUGCUCCUCUCUGCUCAGGACUGGUGUAUAUGGACCCAGUUCUGGAAAAAGGCCAGAUUGCAUCAGACAGGGCUUGGAGGGCGGGAACCAGCCCCAUGGUCUAAGGAGGAGACAGCGUUAUAAGUAGGGGUGAGGGAACUGGGAGAGGGCAGACAUUUGGAAAACAGGCAAGACUUUGGAGAAAGCAGACCAGUCGGUGGAGGUCGGAAAGGACGUACCAAGAGAGAAGCUGCUGCCAACACCAACCGCCCCAGCCCUGGUGGGCAUGAGAGGAAGCUGCUGACCAAGUUCCAGAACUCUGAAAGGAAAAAGGCCUGGCGCUGAGACAGAGCUGGAGAUGAGGCCAGACCACGGACACCACACCCAGCAAUGGAUACAGGACCUUGGAGAAAUUAGGAGUUGUAAGCAGGACCUAGGCCUGCUUGAUUCUUUCCCACCUAAGUGAGGCUCUGGAGAGGGAACACCAAAAAAAGCCCUUCCGGACCCAGCUAAAGGGCAAGUUAGGAGCGAGAAGCAGAGGGUAGAUGGGCAGAGCUAAGAAGGCACCCCCAAAAAGAACAGUGGGAAAAACUGGAUGCCCUUGGGUGGCAGUAACAAUAAACUGUACAACAGUGACAGCAUUUGUGUGUGUGUUGUGCUGUCUUUGUUGUGUUUGUGUGUAUUGUAUCUUGCUGUGUCCAUGGUGUAUCUCUCUUAGGAGACUAUCUGGAUGGGAGUUUUCUUACUGUGUAGCUUAGGGGGCUGUGACCAGUUGUCCAGUAUUGUUGCCUUACCUAAUGUAUGCAGAUGCUUUGAGGUGCCUGUUUCUAUGGUCUCUUCUGGGGAAAUUGCGGUUUCUUUGCAAUACUGCCCCAGAGACAAACUGGCCAGUCCCUUCCCCAUUCUUGAGCACAAUGAGGUCCUAUUAUGUAGAGCUGCUUUUUGAAGAGAAUGUUUCUAUUAAUACUAUUUGCAAAAUGACAAAAAAACCCCAACAACCUGAGGUUUAAAAUAUGCAAAGGAUUUGUUUUAAGCAACUGAGGGCUCAAAUCCAAGCAUGGAAUGACAGGCUGGC